GACGAACGCUGGCGGCGUGCUUAACACAUGCAAGUGGAGCGACGAACCGGGGCUUGCCCCGGGGCAGAGCCGCGAACGGGUGAGUAACACGUGGGUCACCUGCCUCGAUGACCGGGACAACCCGAGGAAACUCGGGCUAAUACCGGAUGUGCUCUUCGGAGGAAAGGUAGCUUCGGCUUCCGCAUCGAGAUGGGCCCGCGGCGCAUUAGCUUGUUGGUGGGGUAACGGCCUACCAAGGCGACGAUGCGUAGCUGGUCUGAGAGGACGAUCAGCCACACUGGGACUGAGACACGGCCCAGACUCCUACGGGAGGCAGCAGUGGGGAAUCUUGCGCAAUGCGCGAAAGCGUGACGCAGCAACGCCGCGUGGGGGAAGAAGGCCUUCGGGUUGUAAACCUCUUUCAGUUGGGACGAAGCUUCGGCGGUGAAUAGCCGCCUGGAGUGACGGU
rnacentral:rRNA from 1 species